UUCUUAUCACGAGCGACCGAGGGACUGGCCCUAUGACGUCGCGGCAACCCCCCGCAAGGGGACGGUGCCAAAUCCUGCGGAACGGCAACGUUCCGGGAGAUAAGGA
rnacentral:ncRNA from 20 species